CAGCAGCCGCGGUAAUACGGGCAGCCCAAGUGUAUCCACGAAUACUGGGCUUAAAGCGUUCGUAGCUGGUUUGGUAAGUUUUCUGUGAAAGCCCAUGGCUUAACUGUGGGAAGUGCAGAAAAAACUGCCAGACUUGGAGGCGGGAGAGGUCAAGGGUACGUAUAGGGUAGCGGUGGAAAUUUUGUUUGUGAUUUAUUACAAACUUAACCAAAGUGCAGUAAUCCUAUACGGACCAUCUGUAGCGAAGGCGCUUGACUAGGACGCACUCGACAGUGAGGAACGAAAGCCAGGGGAGCGACAGGGAUUAGAUACCCCUUUAGUCCUGGCCGUAAAGGAUGCAAACUAGGUGUUGUGUAACCCUCGUGGUUGGGCAGUGCCGAAGGGAAACCGUUAAGUUUGCCGCCUGGGGAGUACGAUCGCAAGGUUGAAACUUAAAGGAAUUGGCGGGGGAGCACUACAACGAGUGGAUGCUGCGGUUUAAUUGGAUAAAACGCCGGAAAUCUCACCAGGGAAGACAGCAGGAUGAUAGUCAUUCUGAAGGGAUUACUUAACAAGCUGAGAGGUGGUGCAUGGCCAUCGUCAGCUCGUGCUGUGAAGUGUCCUCUUAAGUGAGGCAACGAGCGAGACCCACACCCUUAGUUACUAAGUGUAUUAUUACAAUGCACAGGACUCUAAGGGGACUGCUAGAGCUAAUCUAGAGGAAGGAGUGGGCAACGGUAGGUCAGUAUGCCCCUAAUUUCCUGGGCUACACGUGGCAUACAUUGGUAGGCACAAUGGGAUGCAACUCUGAAAGGAGAAGCUAAUCCCCCAAAACCGAUCUAAGUCUGGAUUGAGGGCUGAAACUCGCCCUCAUGAAAAUGGAAUUCGUAGUAGUCGCGUGUCACUAAAAACGCUGUGAGCAAACGCUUACACGUUUGUGGACUCGCGCGGCGAAUGUGUCCCUGCCCCUUGCACAC
rnacentral:rRNA from 1 species